GACGAACGCUGGCGGCGUGCUUAACACAUGCAAGUCGAACGGAAAGGCCCUGCUUUUGUGGGGUGCUCGAGUGGCGAACGGGUGAGUAACACGCGUGUAUCCCGCCCCUGACUUUGGGAUAACAUCUGGAAAAUGGGGCUAAUACCGCAUAGGAUCUCCUGCUGCAUGGUGGGGGUUGGAAAGUUUCGGCGGUUGGGGAUGGACUCGCGGCUUAGCAGCUUGUUUGUGGGGUAGUGGCGUACCAAGGCUUUGACGGGUAGCCGGCCUGGGAGGGUGACCGGCCACAUUGGGACUGAGGUACGGCCCAGACUCCUACGGGAGGCAGCGGUGGGGAAUAUUGCACAGUGGGCGGAAGCCUGAUGCAGCAACGCCGCGUGCGGGAUGACGGCCUUCGGGUUGUAAACCGCUUUCGCCUGUGACGAAGCGUGAGUGACGGUAAUGGGUAAAGAAGCACCGGCUAACUACGUG
rnacentral:rRNA from 1 species